rnacentral:rRNA from 1 species
CAGUAGCCGCGGUAAUACGUAGGGUGCGAGCGUUAAUCGGAAUUACUGGGCGUAAAGCGUGCACAGGCGGUUCUAUAAGACAGAUGUGAAAUCCCCGGGCUCAACCUGGGAACCGCAUUUGUGACUGUAGAGCUGGAGUGCGGCAGAGGGGGAUGGAAUUCCGCGUGUAGCAGUGAAAUGCGUAGAUAUGCAGAGGAACACCGAUGGCGAAGGCAAUCCCCUGGGCCUGCACUGACGCUCAUGCACGAAAGCGUGGGGAGCAAACAGGAUUAGAUACCCCGGUAGUCCCUGUCUCUUAUAA